UACAGAGGGUGCAAGCGUUGUUCGGAAUUAUUGGGCGUAAAGGGCGCGUAGGCGGUGCGGUAAGUCUGCGGUGAAAUCUCCCGGCUCAACUGGGAGGGUGCGCCGAAUACUGAAUGACUAGAGUGCGGGAGAGGAAAGUGGAAUUCCUGGUGUAGCGGUGAAAUGCGUAGAUAUCAGGAGGAACACCGGUGGUGUAGACGGCUUUCUGGACCGUAACUGACGCUGAGACACGAAAGCGUGGGUAGCAAACAGG
rnacentral:rRNA from 1 species